rnacentral:rRNA from 1 species
UACGGAGGGGGCUAGCGUUGUUCGGAAUUACUGGGCGUAAAGCGUACGUAGGCGGCUUUUGUAAGUUAGAGGUGAAAGCCCCGGAGCUCAACUCCGGAAUUGCCUUUAAGACUGCAUCGCUUGAAUCAUGGAGAGGUUAGUGGAAUUCCGAGUGUAGAGGUGAAAAUUCGUAGAUAUUCGGAAGAACACCAGUGGCGAAGGCGACUAACUGGACAUGUAUUGACGCUGAGGUACGAAAGCGUGGGGAGCAAACAGG